UACGUAGGGUGCAAGCGUUAAUCGGAAUUACUGGGCGUAAAGCGUGCGCAGGCGGUUGGGCAAGGCAGGUGGGAAAUCCCCGGGCUUAACCUGGGAACUGCACUUGUGACUGCACGGCUGGAGUACGGCAGAGGGGGAUGGAAUUCCGCGUGUAGCAGUGAAAUGCGUAGAUAUGCGGAGGAACACCGAUGGCGAAGGCAGUCCCCUGGGCCUGUACUGACGCUCAUGCACGAAAGCGUGGGGAGCAAACAGG
rnacentral:rRNA from 1 species